GAUGAACGCUAGCUACAGGCUUAACACAUGCAAGUCGCAGGGUAACAUGAGGAAAGCUUGCUUUCCUUGAUGACGACUGGCGCACGGGUGAGUAACGCGUAUCCAACCUUCCCAUAACUACGGGAUAACCCGUUGAAAGACGGCCUAAUACCGUAUGAUAUCGUUUGCUGACAUCAAAUAACGAUUAAAGGUUUAGCGGUUAUGGAUGGGGAUGCGUCUGAUUAGCUUGUUGGCGGGGUAACGGCCCACCAAGGCGACGAUCAGUAGGGGUUCUGAGAGGAAGGGCCCCCACAUGGGAACUGAGACACGGGCCAAACUCCUACGGGAGGCAGCAGUGAGGAAUAUUGGUCAAUGGGCGAGAGCAUGAACCAGCCAAGUAGCGUGCAGGACGACGGCCCUAUGGGUUGUAAACUGCUUUUAUGUGGGGAUAAAGUGCGUGACGUGUCAUGCAUUGCAGGUACCACAUGAAUAAGGACCGGCUAAUUCCGUG
rnacentral:rRNA from 1 species